UACACAUGCAAGUCGAACGCUCCGCAAUGGGAGUGGCGCACGGGUGAGUAACACGUGGGAACCUACCUUCUGGUACGGAACAACCAAGGGAAACUUUGGCUAAUACCGUAUACGACCUCCGGGUGAAAGAUUUAUCGCCAGAAGAGGGGCCCGCGUCCGAUUAGGUAGUUGGUGAGGUAACGGCUCACCAAGCCGACGAUCGGUAGCUGGUCUGAGAGGAUGACCAGCCACACUGGGACUGAGACACGGCCCAGACUCCUACGGGAGGCAGCAGUGGGGAAUAUUGGACAAUGGGCGCAAGCCUGAUCCAGCCAUGCCGCGUGAGUGAUGAAGGCCUUCGGGUUGUAAAGCUCUUUCACCCACGACGAUGAUGACGGUAGUGGGAGAAGAAGCCCCGGCUAACUUCGUGCCAGCAGCCGCGGUAAUACGAAGGGGGCAAGCGUUGUUCGGAAUGACUGGGCGUAAAGGGCGCGUAGGCGGUUCGUUGCGUCAGAUGUGAAAGCCCCGGGCUCAACCUGGGAACUGCAUUUGAUACGGGCGAGCUUGAAUCCAAGAGAGGGUGGUGGAAUUCCCAGUGUAGAGGUGAAAUUCGUAGAUAUUGGGAAGAACACCAGUGGCGAAGGCGGCCACCUGGCUUGGUAUUGACGCUGAGGCGCGAAAGCGUGGGGAGUAAACAGGAUUAGAUACCCUGGUAGUCCACGCCGUAAACGAUGUGUGCUAGCCGUCGGGCAGCUUGCUGUUCGUGCGCAGCUAACGCGAAUAUGCACACCGCUGGGGGAGUACGGUCGCAGAUU
rnacentral:rRNA from 1 species